rnacentral:piRNA from 1 species
UAGAUUGAUGAACAGACAUCUGCAAU